AAAUGCCCUCCUCUAGAUUUCCUGCCUAUAUUUAAUAUUUUUGCAUGGCUAAUAUUUCCCCUCGUGCAAGUUACCAACCCUAUAUAUACAUAAACCCCAAAUGAUAUUUUUCAUUUCAUUAAUUCACCUCUUCUUAAUUAAUUUGGCAUCAAAUUUUUGCAUAGAUUUCCAUUAUCCACCCUCUCUUUCUCAUUGAAACCAAAGAGAAAGAGAGAUUAUACCGCAUGCGAUUUCUGUUCCUCACUUAAAUUCCUGACAUUGUUACGUUGAGUUUAUUUUUCAUUCAAUUGUAAUGGCAGUGGCUAACAAAAUCAUGGAUAUUGAGCCUUGGAUUGAGGUUGCACCGUCUCCUAUAGUUUCCCAAGAAAAGCCCUCUUGUUCGCCUAAAUUGGCGACGAUUACAGAGGAGAGAGACGAGGAUUAUGAAGACGACGACGAUCAAGAUUAAAAUCAUGUUAAUACUAUAUUGGCUUGCAGAUUGAUUUUCCACCGACCACCAUAAAUAUAUUUGUGGUUGAUGAGAAGCUAGAUAUAUCUUGUUUCAUAUCUUUUGUAAACCUUUGGAAUUGCUUGCAAUCAAGUAGGCAAAGGUAUGGUACAUGAGAUAUAUAUAUGUGUGUGUGUGUGAUGUAUAUUAGUAUAUGUAUAUUGUAGCUCCAUUAUUUAUAUGAUUAUGUAAAUAUAAAUUAUAAAUAGCCC
rnacentral:lncRNA from 1 species